CGGAGUGGACGUAGUAAAAAAUGGAAAGAGAUGCUGAAGUUGCCGCCUGUUAGUUAUUGUGAAGGUAUUAGACAUUCAAUUGGAAAAGACUAUAAUCAGCUUUGUGACAAACAGCCUAUAGGAAGACUUCUCUUCAGGCAGUUCUGUGAUUCCAGACCGGAGUUGAAAAGGUGCAUUGAAUUCCUGGAUGCAGUGGCAGAGUAUGAGGUAUCUUCAGAUGAAAAGCGUAUAGACUGUGGCCUGAAAGUUUUAGAGACCUACUUCACUAACGGGUCUGCAGCACACUUGCCAGAAAUACCUCAGGAGACAGUAAAUGAAUGUAAAGCAAGACUGGAAAAGAACCCUUCUAAAGAUCUUUUUAUGGACUGUACCAGAGUUGUCCAUGAAUAUUUAAGCAGAGGACCUUUUGAAGCUUACCAAGAUAGUGUGUAUUUUUCCCGUUUUUUACAGUGGAAAUGGCUGGAAAAGCAACCAGUAACCAAACACACAUUUAGGCAUUACCGAGUGCUAGGCAAAGGUGGAUUUGGAGAGGUGUGUGCCUGUCAAGUGCGGGCAACAGGAAAAAUGUAUGCUUGUAAAAAACUAGAAAAAAAGAGAAUAAAGAAGAGGAAAGGAGAAUCAAUGGCUCUAAACGAAAAAAGAAUUCUAGAAAAAGUGAAUAGUAGGUUUGUAGUUAGUUUAUCCUACACCUAUGAGACAAAAGAUGCCCUGUGUUUAGUAUUAACCAUAAUGAAUGGAGGAGACUUGAAGUUUCACAUAUAUAACAUGGGAAAUCCUGGUUUUGAUGAAGAAAGGGCUAUUUUCUAUGCUGCAGAGUUGUGCUGUGGUCUGGAGGAUUUGCAGAGGGAGAGAAUUGUUUACAGAGACUUGAAGCCUGAGAAUAUACUCCUUGAUGACUGUGGACAUAUCAGAAUUUCAGAUCUUGGAUUAGCUGUGCAGAUUCCAGAAGGAGAAACAGUCCGAGGGCGGGUUGGGACUGUUGGUUACAUGGCUCCAGAAGUGCUCAAAAAUGAAAAGUAUACCUUCAGCCCUGAUUGGUGGGGUCUUGGGUGCUUGAUUUAUGAAAUGAUUGAAGGACAGUCUCCAUUCAGGAAGCAUAAGGAAAGGGUCAAACGAGAUGAGAUUGACCGGAGAGUAAAGGAAGACCAGGAAACAUAUUCAGACAAGUUCUCAGAAGAGGCAAAAUCCAUCUGCAGGAUGUUACUUGCCAAAAAUCCAGUGGAUCGACUGGGUUGCACUGAAGAUGGAGCUGCUAUUGUAAAACAACAUCCUAUUUUCAAGAAUAUUAACUUCAAGAGACUGGAAGCUAACAUGUUAGAACCUCCGUUCUUGCCAGAUGUAAGUAGCCGCGUGCGGUAUAUUGUAAAGAUGUCCUGGACAUAGAACAGUUUUCAACAGUAAAAGGAGUGAACCUGGAUACUACAGAUGAUGACUUCUAUUCCAAGUUUGUUACGGGUUGUGUCUCAAUCCCUUGGCAAAAUGAGAUGAUUGAAACAGGAUGCUUUGAAGAUAUCAAUGCCUAUGAGACUGAUGGUACUGUGUCACCAGACAGGGAGAGGUCUCCUAAACCAAAGAGAGGCUUCUUUCACAGACUUUUUAGUGGAGAGGUCUGCUUUAAAUCUGACUGCAGUGAUGAUGAACAGGAGUCCUCCAGGCUUUAAAUCAUUUUACUAUCAUCAGAAAGGAUGAGCGAACUUUGAAUGUUUUAUAUCUCUGUAGCAAAGUGUAUUAUAUAUAUUUUUUAUGAGUUCAAGGAUUUUUGUACAUUUGUACUUCAUUUGUUUUAAGAUGUAUAUUUUCACUAAAAGUUAACUGUACAAAAAGCAAUGAGUGCCAUUUGAGUGAAUGUGUGUUUCUGUAUGUAUUUGUAUCUUGGGUUUUUGUUUGUUUGUUUUUGGUUUUUCUUCCCCCAGUGGAAUGAACCUAGAAAUACUUAAAAGGAUUUUAAAGCACAGAGAUGAUAAUUGUGGCAUAAAUGUAACAUGACUUUGCAUGCUCCUAGUAAGACGCUUCACAAGCACUGUUUCUUGUUUGCUAGGAUCUUUAUUUGCAGUGUUCUUAACAGCAGAAUAGCUAUACUGAUGGAUUUCAUAAUUCUGCUGUUAUCUGGCGGCACAGCAGCGUUGUUCUCCAGCAUCUCUCAAACUGUUAAGGGAGGAGGAAAAAAAAAAAGGAAUUCUGUGUGCUAUGACCUAUUAUUGUGAAAUGUUCUUUUUUGUUUAUAUCUGAAGACUGUCUUGAAUCUGUACUUACUCAUAUAUAGAAUUCUGGACAUUUAGCUUAACCUUGUAACAGACUGUAUUGCUCUGUUCUUCUUACCUGCCCAUCCACACAUCUUCUCCCUACAGUUUCUGGGUAUGGACCAUGCAAGUAGACUUAUGCCAGUUUUAUAAGUAACUAUAUUUUGAGUACUUUGCUUUUGCUAAAAGGAUUUGUUUUACCUGUGAGGAUUUGUUUUUAUUUUUUUCUGUAAACAAAGCUGUUUACAACUUUUUGCUGUAGGAUGUUACAGUUUUAUAAUGGGUUAAAACCAGAAAGCAUGUUCUCAUCUUACUAUUGACUACCUGCCUCUCUCCUUAUUAUGUUGCAAUAUCUAAUGUUAGUGAUCCCUGCCAUGGAGGGAAGGACAAAGUAGUGUUGGGCAUCAAAUUAAUUAUGUAAAUAAUCUUUCCUUAUAGUCUUUAAAAAAUUAAACGUUAGCCUGCUUUUAAUGGUUGUUUAAUGCAGAUGUGGAGCUGAUACUGAUGGUUUUAUUUAAGAUUACGUGAUAUUCAUUGGUAAAAGACUGUUUCCAGAUGCUUGGAAGCUUGUCAGAUUUCCAGUCUUCUGAGCUCAAAGCAUGCCAAAUGUUUCCUCCUUUUUAUUUUAUAAAACUUCAGGUAAAACUAUUUAGCCGUCUAUGAGAAUAAAAAUGUAGGGAACACUUUUCAUUGAUGUUAGAAAUAUCUGCCACUGCUCCAUUAAGAGCCUCUUUUGUUUUAAAAUUUUAGAUUAGGGACUUUAGAAAUACAGUAGCAUGUUCCUGGAGUUGGAGACAAUAAUUUCAUGUUAGGUUCUGCUCUAUAUUCUGAGGAUUGUCUUCACUGAGCAUGCUUGCUUUUCCCCCCCCACCCCCCCUGCCACAUCUCCAGGGCACCAACAGGACCGCAUUUGUAUUAUACGCACAGAGCAACUGAAUAUUCCUCUACCUAGUAGCUUUCUGCUUGUGAUCCACAGACCCGUUGGGAGAAACUUAAGCUACUUCUGAGAAGCUCACAAGAUGCAAUUGAUAGUCGAGCUUAUUGUCUGAUGUUAAUUCACAGUAUUUUGUCUCUAGUGUUUUAAAGGGCUGGAAUUUGAAAAAAAUUGGAAAAAAGGCAAGUUUACAGAAUUGCUAGUGCCUGUCUGAAAUUGCUUCUUUUGGCUACUGUGCCACAGGGAUGAGGAAGUUUUCUUAUGCUUUCAGUACAUUCUUCUUGAUGUUGAAGGCAGCACAGAGGACAGGAAACUGACUAUUGUAGAAAAUACAAAGGGAGAAAUAGGAAGGAGGAGGGUUUGAAUAAAUUAGUGGCUUAUAGAGUCAAGUGAGGAGAGACUCGAUAGAGAAGUAUCUGAAGUAGGGGUGUCAGCUAGAACCAUUAUGUGUGAGACCAUGGACUGGUAUGGUCUGACCUGAUCAUCUUGAUUAUGUAGCACGAUAAUAGAAGGACUCUAAAUAGGUUGGAAUGGGGCAUAGAAAAGGAGCAGAAGUGUUUUUUAAAUACUUACUGUUUGGAAAAGCCAUCAUGUUUUUCUGAUUAAGUGAUGUAAUUUUGUAAGGCCUUAAGUUUUCUGUGCUGAGACAAAGGUGAUAGUAUUAACACUAGGCAUAUGACCUGGCAGCCUGGCUUUAAUGCCUGCUUAGAGCAACUUGAAAUUGAAGAAUACCAUGGGCACAAGCUGAGUAAUUUUUAUGAAGAAAGUAUAGGAAUUAUUGACAAGUAAAGGAAAUCUGAAUUUACAUUUACCAUAUUUUUCAAAAUGUUCUUUCCAUAUUGGAGGGAGGAGGGAUUUUAACAAAAAAGAUCAAAUUAACACACACCCCUACCCUCCCGCUCCCAUUUUGGAGUGUUGAAGUUUAACACUGUGUCUCCAGGUCAUGUGAAGAAAAUGGACUAGAUGAUGAGAAAAGGGCAGUUGCUCCUAAGAGGUUGCUCCUUAAAUUACUUUUUCCUCUGCUUCUUUUAACAAGAAAUUUGGACCAUGCACAAAAGUUGUUUUGCUUUUUAAUGAAGCUUUAUUUAGGUUCAGUCCUCAAGUUGUUCCUAAUGUUCUGGACUUUUUUUUUGAGUAACUAUAUAUUUGCAGGAUUAGGACCUAAAUCCUGUGUGUGGUUUUUUUUUUUCCCAAGUAGGUUUCAGCUGGCAUUUUUCCACUUUAAAUUUGUCCCUUUUGUCUCCAUGCAGUGAGUAUGACCUAACUCCUUGUGCAAUUUACUAACUCUAGUACAUGGACAGGGAAUAAAUACAUUAAAUCUGCAAAGCAAUGUGACAAUCCAACAGCCUGACUGCUUUGUUCUCCUGGUACAAAAUAGGGUAAAAUUUAUGGAAUUCCUAUGGAGUUACUUGUAUGAGAUCGAUCAUUCUUGUCUGUGGUUUGUUUCCAAGUAUUUUUGUGUGUAAGUCUUAGCGUUUGCUUAUUCAUACCUCAUGAAUAUAUAUAUUUAGCUCAAAAUUCAGAAACUGUGAAACAAUAUAACAGUAUCAGUUUAUUUUUGAAUGUUGUGACUGACCAAUAGAAUUAAAUCUUCAUGCCUCAGGGUUGCUUUCUUUCUAUAAAAACGUAAGUUUUGCAGAGGUAGUGUUCAUAAUAAAGAUGGCAUCAUGUUUUUGUAUUAUAACAACAUCAAAACAGCCCCUAUUUAAAAAAAAAAAAAAAGAGCACUUAAAAAUAAUUACUGUACAAUAGAAAUAGGAAAACCUGUGGUAUCUCAGAAACAAGGAGAUAGCUAUUGUCAAACCUUAAUCUUUAAUAAAAAAUGCUAUAUCUUUUUAAAAUCGUUUUUAAAACAAUAGAUCUGAAGGCAAAAAUGAAUUUUUAGAAUACUCUUCAAUUAUUUUUCAAAUAAUAUAGAUGGAAGGUAUUUCUCACUGUCGUUUAUAAAUUCCAAAAUAUUGUUUACAAGUUACUGAAAAUAAGUCAACAGAAGUAGUAGUAUUUCACUAUUGUUUACAAUUUAGUAUUAUAAUAAUUUAUCACCUCUAUUCUCAUGUUGACUUCCAGAAAAUACUUCUCUCUAAGUACUCACAAGUUGGAAUUAAUUUAAAACUUUAAUGGAGAACAUCUUCAAGAUAAAUUUAUGUGCUUUUUGGUGGUUUUCUAGGUUUUUGUUUUUUGAAUGACCUGUGUUUGGUGGUAAUGAUGUCUCUUCUGUAUGUAUGUAUGUGUGUUUUUUUUUUUUUUUUUGUAAUUGUCCAUAUGGUGUAACUUAAUUUAAGUUUUGCAUGUGACACAGGUAAUUUCUCACAUGUUCUACAUGUGUCCAGAACACCAGAGUUCUUUCCAAGUAUAACUAUUUUGAUGGCUAAAUGUGAUACGUUGGUUCCAGUAUUUCCAAACCACUGAAUUGUUCUUGUAUGAGCUGUUUUCCUGGAGGUUCUAGCGUUUGUUGUUCCGAAAUAAAAGCAAAACACUGCCGCAUGUCUAAAUCACA